UACGAAGGGGGCUAGCGUUGCUCGGAAUCACUGGGCGUAAAGGGCGCGUAGGCGGCCAUUCAAGUCAGGGGUGAAAGCCUGUGGCUCAACCACAGAAUUGCCUUUGAUACUGUUUGGCUAGAGACCGGAAGAGGUAAGUGGAACUGCGAGUGUAGAGGUGAAAUUCGUAGAUAUUCGCAAGAACACCAGUGGCGAAGGCGGCUUACUGGUCCGGUUCUGACGCUGAGGCGCGAAAGCGUGGGGGAGCAAACAGG
rnacentral:rRNA from 1 species